rnacentral:rRNA from 1 species
GUCUACGGCCAUACCACCCUGAACGCGCCCAAUCUCGUCUGAUCUCGGAAGCUAAGCAGGGUCGGGCCUGGUUAGUACUUGGAUGGGAGAAAAGGGAUUGGGAGUGGGGAUC